CGCUGCAGCCUCGCCCGUCGUGAACACAGCAACAUCACCAACGAAUGAUGUCCAACGCUUCGCACGUGAUGAUCUUGUUGGAAAUGAUGUGAUCUUAUUUGCCAUGUCGAGUAAUGAAAAAGUGGCUAAGGCAACUGUUGUUUCAAUUAACCCAAACAAUCAUCUUGCGGGUGAGGCUCUUGGAACGAAAUUUUGUGAAGUUAUUGUGAAUAUUGUCUUCAAACGUGAUGCAUUAGUGCCACGUCCUUAUGCUGAAAUGAAGACUCUAGGUGAUGCUGUAAAGAUGCCGGUUGCUUGGCCAUUUAAUCGACUGAAGGUUUGCAGUCAACAGCCAAAAAGACCUUCUCAAGGUGUGGCUGGAUCUUCUCAAGUUGUUGCUCGAUUU